ACGUCACGCCACCGGAAGCCGCGGCCCCCGGGGUGACGGGGCGUCGAGAAAGCUCCGGUGUCUGGAGUCGGAGCCAUCGGCGUUCCGCGAGGCCGACAUUAAGAGCAUAGUUCCCAGCCCUGACAGUGUUGGGGUGGGGGGAGAUGAGAAAGCUGACGCCCCUGGAGGAAAAGUGUCGCUCAUAUUCACUCAGCGGAGACUCCCGCGACCGUACCGUACAUUGGAGGGCUUGCCCCUAGAGAGGAGUCCCUGAGGCAAAUCUUACAGAAACACCCCCAUUCCCAAGAUGGGGUACGCAGAGCCCAAAGGGUGACAGGGAUUUGCCAGCAGAGUUAUCAGAAAAUGCAGGACGCCCUGUUCGAGUUUCAGGAACUGACCCCAGUGACCAGAGAUGCAUGUCGAGAUAUACUUGAAAUGCUCGAAAACAGGAAACGAAGGAGCACCCACUAGACUCUGACAGAAAAUACAGACAAGGAGAAAGAUGAAAGUCACCCCUAAUUCUAUCACCCAGGUUAACCUAAUAAAUGUUAAC